UUCGAUGAUACGCGAGGAACCUUACCUGGGCUUAAAUGUAGAUUGCAUGAGGUGGAAACACUUCUUCCCUUCGGGGCUAUUUACAAGGUGCUGCAUGGUUGUCGUCAGCUCGUGCCGUGAGGUGUCCGGGUUAAGUCCCAUAACGAGCGCAACCUUACCGUUAGUUGCCAUCGGGUCAAGCCGGGGACUCUAGCGGGACUGCCACCGUAAGGUGAGAGGAAGGUGGGGAUGACGUCAAAUCAGCACGGCCCUUAUGUCCAGGGCUACACACGUGUUACAAUGGCCGGUACAGAGGGCAGCUACCUGGUGACAGGAUGCUAAUCCCGAAAGCCGGUCCCAGUUCGGAUUGGAGUCUGCAACCCGACUCCAUGAAGUUGGAAUCGCUAGUAAUCGCGGAUCAGCAUGCCGCGGUCGAAUACGUUCCCGGGCCUU
rnacentral:rRNA from 1 species